rnacentral:rRNA from 1 species
ACGAGCUUGCUCUUAUGAAGUUAGCGGCGGACGGGUGAGUAACACGUGGGUAACCUGCCCAUAAGACUGGGAUAACUCCGGGAAACCGGGGCUAAUACCGGAUAACAUUUUGAACCGCAUGGUUCGAAAUUGAAAGGCGGCUUCGGCUGUCACUUAUGGAUGGACCCGCGUCGCAUUAGCUAGUUGGUGAGGUAACGGCUCACCAAGGCAACGAUGCGUAGCCGACCUGAGAGGGUGAUCGGCCACACUGGGACUGAGACACGGCCCAGACUCCUACGGGAGGCAGCAGUAGGGAAUCUUCCGCAAUGGACGAAAGUCUGACGGAGCAACGCCGCGUGAGUGAUGAAGGCUUUCGGGUCGUAAAACUCUGUUGUUAGGGAAGAACAAGUGCUAGUUGAAUAAGCUGGCACCUUGACGGUACCUAACCAGAAAGCCACGGCUAACUACGUGCCAGCAGCCGCGGUAAUACGUAGGUGGCAAGCGUUAUCCGGAAUUAUUGGGCGUAAAGCGCGCGCAGGUGGUUUCUUAAGUCUGAUGUGAAAGCCCACGGCUCAACCGUGGAGGGUCAUUGGAAACUGGGAGACUUGAGUGCAGAAGAGGAAAGUGGAAUUCCAUGUGUAGCGGUGAAAUGCGUAGAGAUAUGGAGGAACACCAGUGGCGAAGGCGACUUUCUGGUCUGUAACUGACACUGAGGCGCGAAAGCGUGGGGAGCACACAGGAUUAGAUACUCUGGUAGUCCACGCCGUACACGAUGAGUGCUAGCUGUUAGAUGGUGGCUUCCCUUCAUUGCUGAAGUUAUCUCACUAUUCACUCCGCCCGGCGAGGACGGUCCGCGCGGCUGAGACUCACAUGAAUUGACUGGGGCGGGGCCAGCUAUAGCAGCAAGAUGCUUUAGUUUUAUUCGCACGCACAACAUAACACGGAGGGGGUGGGGAUGUCCUCGGAAGAGCCUAGAGAUGGGGCUCCUCCUCGGGGAACAAAAUGAACAGGGGAUGCAUGGUUCUCCUCAACUGAUGUCUUGAGAAGGUUGCGUUAGUCCCGCAACGAGGGAUCCUUUGUCCUUAAUUACCUUCGCUAAAUUGAGGACACUCCAGGGGCCCGCCCG